AUAUUGGAAACUUUUGAUUAGAGAAGGUUGAAUUCCUCUAAAGGACUUCAUGAAUGAAGAAGACAGCUAGAACCCCUGGUUUCCUGCUCCUCAGUGGAGAUUCCAGGCGGGAGGCAGGCAGCAAACGCUUGUGUUCCUGUCAAGCGCCAGGCGUGGUGCUGGGCACGGGAUGGACACCAGUGAAGACACAGCUACACGCAGCCCUGAACAUCCCUGCAGCAGCCACAGGGCCUGGCCACACCAGGGAGCUCUGUGAACUCAGGGAAGCUGGUACACCUCGGGCAUCCCUUGCUCAUGUGUAAAGUGGGGAUAAGUCAGUGCCCAGGAUCACUGAGGGCCUGCCACAUAACAGAGUCACUAAACGCUAGCUAUUCUCACUAGGAUUGGAAAGAUUGAAGCUUACUACAUUUCUGUGAACUUUCUAUAAAUACUGUAUUGAUGUUCACGUCACCACAGGCAAAAAGGACGCCGCUUUCGCAUCCAGCCCACCCUAAGAAUGCCCCUGGACUUCCCAGUACACUCAGCUCCACCAGGCACCAGGCCCUGCAGAAGCCACAACCUGUGACGAAGACAAUGAGUCACUCUUGGUGUGUGGCACAGCGUGAUGUGGCGACACAGAGUCUCAUGAUGUUGUCCAGGCUGCUCUGGAACUCCUGGGCUCAAGCGACCCUCCUGCCUCAGCCUCCGAAAGCACUGGGAUGACAAGCAUGAGCCACUGUGCAGGACCCACAGCACUUAAAUUCCAAAAUCACCUUGAAACCCUGACCUUCCACCUGCCCUGGUGGCUUCCAGAGGUCAGUUCCUCUUCCCGUACCAAAGGUUUCUUGUCUUUCGCGGCCCAGGUAAGGUCACUCCAGGUGCUCCCUCUGCUUUUGAAGGCCUUUGACUGAGAAGCCACUCUGGGUCCUAUUAGGACCCCAAGGCGGCUCCAUUCGUACUCGCACAUCUCCCGGCCGGUUUAAGUCACGCUGGCCAGGCUAUUUCCACUUCACUCUCCUAAUUUCUCCAAUCCCAUCCUCUGCUGCAUCACCUUUUCUUUCUCUGAGAACCCAACCCUGCAGGAGGAACGCUGAUGCUGGGGUCCUUUAACUAGAACGCUAACGCCAGAGCACUUCCCCGGGCGCUGGGGGGCGGGCUGCCGGGCGGGGCCUGGCGCUGCCACCGGGGUGUCCCGCGGGGAGGGGGGCGCUGGGCCUAGGGAGGCUGCGCUGCUGGCUCGGGGAGCGCGCGGCGUACUGAUGUCAGGGCCAGGGCGCAUGGAGACGACGGGCCGGGCAUCACGUAGGCGCUCGCGGCGGGCGGGGCGGCGCUGACAGCGCCCCAACAUGCAGCACCCGUGCCGCCCCGAGCGCUCAAGGGCGAAGGGAAGGUCACCGGGACCGAGGGCGGGGGCCCAUUCCCGCUCCAUCCUUGUGCAGUGCGCGGUCCCGAAACGGGAGGAAAUCCGCCAUCCGCGCCUUUCCACGCAUCUGCGGCAGGAGGAACCGGGAAAAUAAAAAUCAAAACCCAG